AGAGUUUGAUCAUGGCUCAGGACGAACGCUGGCGGCGUGCCUAAUACAUGCAAGUAGAACGCUUCUUACUUAGUGCUUGCACUAAGUAAGAGGAGUUGCGAACGGGUGAGUAACGCGUAGGUAACCUACCUUAUAGCGGGGGAUAACUAUUGGAAACGAUAGCUAAUACCGCAUAAGAAGAGUUAACACAUGUUAAUUCUUUAAAAGGGGCAAUUGCUCCACUAUGAGAUGGACCUGCGUUGUAUUAGCUAGUUGGUGAGGUAACGGCUCACCAAGGCAACGAUACAUAGCCGACCUGAGAGGGUGAUCGGCCACACUGGGACUGAGACACGGCCCAGACUCCUACGGGAGGCAGCAGUAGGGAAUCUUCGGCAAUGGACGAAAGUCUGACCGAGCAACGCCGCGUGAGUGAAGAAGGUUUUCGGAUCGUAAAGCUCUGUUGUUAGAGAAGAAUGAUGGUGGGAGUGGAAAA
rnacentral:rRNA from 1 species